rnacentral:lncRNA from 1 species
UACCCACGUGAUCCUCUUAUCAGGCUCUACUCAUCUACUGAUUCAGAUUUUGGAUUUCCUCUUUGUUUGGUAACACUUUUCUAAACCCAUUUCUUUGACAGUUGUAGUUUUUGGGGGUGAUUUUGCAGCAAUUUUGCUUGGUUGAUAUUGGUGAUAUUAUUGUCAUCCGAAUAUUUUAAGUAGACCUAUGUAUUCUCAUUAUUAUGAUAGUGGAGAUUUUUUAUUGGACUAAA